UUAGUCAGGCAACGAGCGAGACCCACGUCCACAGUUGCCAGCAUAUUCUCCGGAAUGAUGGGUACACUGUGGAGACCGCCGCUGCUAAAGCGGAGGAAGGAGUGGGCAACGGUAGGUCAGUAUGCCCCGAAUCUCCCGGGCUACACGCGGGCUACAAUGGGCAGGACAAUGGGCCCCGACACCGAAAGGUGAAGGUAAUCUCUUAAACCUGUUCUAAGUUCGGAUUGUGGGCUGCAACUCGCCCACAUGAAGCUGGAAUCCGUAGUAAUCGCGUUUCAAAAUAGCGCGGUGAAUGCGUCCCUGCUCCUUGCACA
rnacentral:rRNA from 1 species